AGAAUCAGCGUGGGGACUGAAUGAACAAAGAGAUGUGGUUCAGUCUUCCAAGUUCAUUAAAGUCCACGUAAAGGAACAGUGCAUGCUGUGGACGGGCCACAGGUGCUCUGCGUGGAAGAGUGAAGUGUGGGAGCACCGAGCUCGAGUGUCUGUGGCCGUGAGAGGUGGUCCAUCGCUGACCUGCUCUUUCCUGCUACUCCCAGAGGAUGCUGCAGUAUGUGGUACCUAGGUCUCCGAAAGAGUCCUGACCCUGAAGUGGGGAGGAGAGAAAAAUCUAAGAGCCCUGGCGAGGGAGCAAGGGGAUGAAAGAGAUGAGACAGAGAUUUGGGGGAGACACCCGGAAACAGACUGAAAAAAAAAAUCCAAAACAAACAAACAAAAACAAAACCCAGAACAUCUACCUGGAAAGAAAUAAAACAUUAAAACAAGAGACAGUAAUGCUAAAUGAAGCAAGAAGAAAGACUAUCAAAGACGUUAGAACUCCACGCAGGAAGCCCGGCAGGGAGGGGUAGAGAGGACAGGCGACACACCUGCGAGCCUCUUGGGGCUCGGCGGGAGCCGGAUGAGCCUGGCUCUCUCGCUCGCUCGCUCGCUCUACCCCAGACCUCGCUCAGACGAAGAGCGCCAAUCGCCGCCCCAGUCCACCGCGCUGCGGGGCGCAGGGAAGGCCGGCCGAAGGCUUGAACCCUCGGCCGGCUGCGUGGAGUCCCGCGAUGUCCCGGCGAUGACAGGGUGGCUUGGCCCCAGGAAAAAGACGCGGGGCCGGGAGCGCCGCCACUCCCGCGCUUUCGUCUCCAGCGGCCCGGUUCUCCCGGACGCUGCGCCCCCCGCGGCGGGUCCGUCUGCACCCCAAGACUAGGGCUGGGCGAGCGGAUCCCGGGACUGGCUCUGCGAGCUUGCCCGGGGUCCGAAAUCGCCGACAGCGUCCCGGGCCCGGCAGGUCGAUCUCCGGCCGCGCGGAGAGAUCUGGCCCGCAGGCGAGCAACCAGGACUGUAGUGUUGGGUCAUUUCAUUUUCCUCGAACCCCGAGCAACUCUUCGGGCCCUCAGGGUCUUUGCUGCGCCCGCGGCGGGCUCGUGGCCACUCUCCCAGGGUCUGGGCAGAGGUUCCCGCAGCCCUGCCGGGAAGAAAGCAAUGAAUAAAUGCGGCUCGCGGGCUAGUUCACGGAAGACCAAGCCUAAGCUGAUGGGUCAGUGGACCUGUUCCCAGAAAGUUCUGGACCUCGUCAAAACGGCGGAUGUUAGCGCGGGUGGGUGUGGGUCACCCCUUGCUGCUGCUGGGAGCUCAGGGGGACCCAAGGGCGCCGGGCAGGUGACUGGGUGGGAAAGGCACGGACUGGCGCGCUGGGUGGCUCAGACCCUUUCCUAAGGGGACAAAACGGAGGGAGAAAGCGGCUUCCAGGGAUGGUGGCAGAAGACUCCAGAGCCUGCUGGCUGAGCUCUUUUCACUCGCUCAGGAAUGUAGUGUGGCUUUUCCGUUCGGUAUAGCUGGCGUGUGUAGGGUUGGGUGAAUUGACUGUCCCUUCCUUGCCACCCCUCCUCCCGAUCUGUACCCCGCUUCUGAAUUGGUCAACUUCUCCCAGAGAAAUAGAUACACGGCAUUCUCUCUCUCUCUCUCUCUCUCUCUCUCUCCCUCUCUCUCUCUCUCUAAAUGAUAUGAAACAAAACAAUUCACAGUACACUGAAAUAGCCUGACAUAAAAAGAUAUCUCUGCCUGAGCUAUCUCUUAGAAUUGACACUCUCUAAAAAAAAAAAAAAAAAAAAAAAAUGAGAGGGUAUUUUUGUUUGUCUUUCUUCAGAGCUGUGCUGGGGCAGACUUGCUAGGCAAGCACUCUGCAUGUGAGCCACAGGCCCAACCCAGCCUGAUGUACCUUCUACUUGAAAUUGAGUUACUUUUUAUGUUCACUACCAGCAGCAGCAAGAAUACUAUGUUGACAGUUUUGCUUGUUGCUUUGGCUAGCCUUGAACUCACAGCAAUCCUCCUGGCUCAAUAAUUUGUAUUUCUUAAUAAUUUGUAGUUUCUUUCCUCCUCCUCCUCCUCCUUCUCCCCCCCCCUCUCUCUCUCUGGUGUGUGUGUUUCGGGGGACUUCGGGUAUUGACCCUAUGCACAUGGUAAGCAAGCACUGUACCACUGAACUAUAUUCCUAGCCUCCACCUUCCUUAGUUGUGAAUUUAUUUUCAGAGAACUGGGAAGAUGCUACAUAUUUUGAUUGUGCUUUUUUUUUUUUUUGAUAAUGUCCAUAUAGCCCAGGCAUGCCUCAAAUUCCUUAUAUAGUCAUGAUGGUUAACCUUCAACUUUUCAUCCUCCUGCCUCUACCUUCCGAAUGCUGGAAUUACAGGAACAGGGCAUUGUGUUUAGCUCUAUGCUUUUAUUUUUAAUAGUCAAAAUAAAAUAUAUAAGUGUAAUUAAAUUCAUUCAGAUCCCUGUCCAGGAACAGAUGAAACAAUAAACUGGGACGUGUAGAGCAGAUGUGGUGGUGUAUGCUUGCACUGGAGAGGCAGGCACAGGAAGGUAGUUAACAAAUUUGAGGACAGCCUGCUUUAAAUAGCACAUUCUAGGCUUAAAGGACAUAGGGAGACCUUGUCUUAAAUAAACAAAAUAAAUAAAAGUUUGGAAAAUAACUUAAAUGCUGAAAUAAAUAAACAAGAUGUUGUUCAGUAAA
ensembl:lincRNA AI849053 expressed sequence AI849053